rnacentral:rRNA from 1 species
GAUGAACGCUAGCUACAGGCUUAACACAUGCAAGUCGAGGGGAAACGGCAUCGAAAGCUUGCUUUUGAUGGGCGUCGACCGGCGCACGGGUGAGUAACGCGUAUCCAACCUGCCCAUCACUUGGGAAUAACCUUGCGAAAGUAAGACUAAUGCCCAAUGACAUCCCACGAAGGCAUCCGAAUGGGAUUAAAGAUUUAUCGGUGAUGGAUGGGGAUGCGUCUGAUUAGCUUGUUGGCGGGGUGACGGCCCACCAAGGCAACGAUCAGUAGGGGUUCUGAGAGGAAGGUCCCCCACAUUGGAACUGAGACACGGUCCAAACUCCUACGGGAGGCAGCAGUGAGGAAUAUUGGUCAAUGGGCGAGAGCCUGAACCAGCCAAGUAGCGUGCAGGAUGGCGGCCCUAUGGGUUGUAAACUGCUUUUAUAAGGGAAUAAAGUGGGUCACGUGUGACUUUUUGCAUGUACCUUAUGAAUAAGGACCGGCUAAUUCCGUG